CCCGGGAGGAGAAGUAGUAGGAUUGGUUCUCAUAAUUAUCACAUAAUUAAAAAAAAGGAAUUUGUCGAAAUUUUUCUUUUUUUAUUGUUGAAUAAUGCCAAAUCAAAUCAAAAAAAAUCCAAAAGUAAAAAGGAAAUGAAUUAGUUAAUUCAAUAAGAGAGAAAAGGGGACCAGGACUUGAUUUCGUUGCCCAAGCGAGGUAGCGAAAUUCCUUGUCGGGUAAGUUCCGACCCGCACGAAAGGCGUAACGAUCUGGGCACUGUCUCGGAGAGAGGCUCGGUGAAAU
rnacentral:ncRNA from 1 species